UACGUAGGGUGCGAGCGUUGUCCGGAAUUGUUGGGCGUAAAGGGCUCGUAGGCGGUUUGUCGCGUCGGGAGUGAAAUCCACUGGCUUAACUGGUGGCUUGCUUUCGAUACGGGCAGACUGGAGGUAUGCAGGGGAGAACGGAAUUCCUGGUGUAGCGGUGAAAUGCGCAGACAUCAGGAGGAACACCGGUGGCGAAGGCGGGUCUCUGGGCAGUAACUGACGCUGAGGAGCGAAAGCGUGGGGAGCGAACAGG
rnacentral:rRNA from 1 species